UAAGGAAUAUUGGUCAAUGGAGGCAACUCUGAACCAGCCAUGCCGCGUGCAGGAAGAAGGCCCUAUGGGUCGUAAACUGCUUUUGAACAAGAGAAAACCCCGGUACGUGUACUGGGUUGAUAGUAUUGUUAGAAUAAGCAUCGGCUAACUUCGUGCCAGCAGCCGCGGUAAGACGAAGGAUGCAAGCGUUAUCCGGAUUCAUUGGGUUUAAAGGUGCGUAGGCGGACUGAUAAGUCAGUGGUGAAAUCUCUCGGCUUAACCGAGAAACUGCCAUUGAUACUGUUAGUCUAGAGUACAGAUGAUGUGGGCGGAAUAUGACAUGUAGUGGUGAAAUACUUAGAUAUGUCAUAGAACACCGAUUGCGAAGGCAGCUCACAAAACUGUAACUGACGCUGAGGCACGAAAGUGCGGGGAUCAAACAGGAUUAGAUACCCAUGUAGUCCCUGAGCGGGCUGGCAAGGCGCAU
rnacentral:rRNA from 1 species